UAGAGUUUGAUUCAUGGCUCAGAUUGAACGCUGGCGGCAGGCCUAACACAUGCAAGUCGAGCGGAUGAGAGGAGCUUGCUCCUGGAUUCAGCGGCGGACGGGUGAGUAAUGCCUAGGAAUCUGCCUGGUAGUGGGGGACAACGUUUCGAAAGGAACGCUAAUACCGCAUACGUCCUACGGGAGAAAGCAGGGGACCUUCGGGCCUUGCGCUAUCAGAUGAGCCUAGGUCGGAUUAGCUAGUUGGUGAGGUAAUGGCUCACCAAGGCGACGAUCCGUAACUGGUCUGAGAGGAUGAUCAGUCACACUGGAACUGAGACACGGUCCAGACUCCUACGGGAGGCAGCAGUGGGGAAUAUUGGACAAUGGGCGAAAGCCUGAUCCAGCCAUGCCGCGUGUGUGAAGAAGGUCUUCGGAUUGUAAAGCACUUUAAGUUGGGAGGAAGGGCAGUAAAUUAAUACUUUGCUGUUUUGACGUUACCGACAGAAUAAGCACCGG
rnacentral:rRNA from 1 species